ensembl:lncRNA
GUACCUCUGACUGAAUCCCUUCCUAUAUGUCCCUGUCAACAGAGGUCUACAACGUACCUCUGACUGAAUCCCUUCCUAUAUGUCCCUGUCAGAGAGGUCUACAACGUACCUCUGACUGAAUCCCUUCCUAUAUGUCCCUGUCAACAGUCAACAACGUACCUCUGACUGAAUCCCUUCCUAUAUGUCCCUGUCAACAGAGGUCAACAACGUACCUCUGACUGAAUCCAGACCUAUAUGUCCCUGUCAACAGAGGUCAACAGUGUACCUCUGACUGAAUCCCUUCCUAUAUGUCCCUGUCAACAGAGGUCAACAACGUACCUCUGACUGAAUCCAGACCUAUAUGUCCCUGUCAAAAGUUUGGACACACUCAUUCCAGGGUUUUUCUUUAUUUGUACUAUUUUCUACAUUGUAUAAUAAUAGUGAAGACAUCAAACUAUGAAAUAACACGUAUGGAAUCAUGUACUAACCCAAAAUAUAUAUAUUUGAGAUUCUUCAAAGUUGCCACCCUUUGCCUUGAUGACAGCUUUGUCUUCAUUAUUAUUCUACAAUGUAGAAAAUAGUAUAAAUAAAGAAAAACCCUGGAAUGAGUAGGCGUGUCCAAACAUUUGAUUGGUUCUGUGUGAGUCAGUCAACCUGCAUGGCUACAACCUUCUCUGUCCUCACCUUACCCACCCACUGUCCUGACUGCCAUAGAGAGAGAUUUACUGCGUUUGCUCGAGCCAGGUGUAGAGUUGAAACAGCUGUCGGUCUUCAGUCCUGAUGAUGUUCACUGACCUCUUAGACAACCACUUGGUGUGUCCCAAACGGCAUCCUAUCGGUACUUCAACAGGGCACCAUUUAGUGGACGGCUCAUCAAAGAUUCUAAGUAUGAAUAUGUUAAUAGCCCUCCGUGAACUGAGACUGAAGGGGUCUUGGAUUGAAUUGAUCAGUCAGACGCUCUAACAGUGGUGUCCUGAUGGGGGGUGUAGUUCCAUACAGGGCAGCAUUCAGAAAGGUACGUUUUAGUGUAUUUUUAUUAUUUGGCCAACUAAGAGAUGACCUGUGCCUUGUAGAGUGAGACAGCGCUGGUGGUUGAAUCCCAAAUGGCUCCCUGUAUAGUGCACUUUUUUGGACCUGAGCCCUAUUGACCAUGGUCUAAAGUAGUGUACUAUAUAGGGAAUAGGGUGCCAUUUCGAAGACAACCUGUGUUUUUAAUUAGAUCUGAUUAAUAAAGUGUUUCUAAACCUGUGCAAUCUGCCAUUUGUUCCUCACUCUUUGGUAAUGUAUUAUGAGUUAUAGCAGGCAUAUGUAGUGUCAUAAGAGAGAGGGCAGCCAUAAUGCAUCCUGUUUCCAUCCCAUUCAUUUGUCCCUCCAUCGUCAUGGCAUCCAUACACAACAGUAAAGUCAUAUCCCACCAGCAGGAUACAGACCUUCACAGAAACAUCUCUAAUCUGUGAUUGGUCAGAAGUCACAGCGAGAGCACAUGCAACGUUGUAUCCAUGGCAACCUUAACUGCCAGCUCGUAGAAUCAGCAAAAAGUCAGAACAGAUCAGUGAAUGUGUGUAUUUGAAAUAGAUGUUACUUUAGUGACUAUCAUAUUUAUUGAACCAUUAUGGCCUUAUUUCAACAGUAUGUGUAGCAUAUUUUGAUGUACUAUCCAGAGUAUUUAGCUACUGUAUUACUAUUGUACAAUCACAAGAUAUCUAGUAUAUGUUUUGUAGACCUUUGUAUUGAAUCGCUGUGACUAGAGUUUGUAGUUUCAGUACUCAGUCGUUGCCAUAUAAAGACGUGAUACCAGCCCACCUUUAGCCAUUAAAUACUUUACCAGUGUUUCCCCUCUUCAUUCUCUUAAAACGUAACUUUGUGUUUCUCCUUCACACACACACACACACACAGGAAACGGCAACACGCAAGGUGAAUCUUUCAAUUUAUUUUUAUCAAAAAAUAAUCAAGUGAACCAUGCUCUCUCCGUCCAGUCUUAAAAUACAGCCAGAUAAUGACAGGCUUGCUUAAACUCCAUAUCCCAUAAGCCUCUGCUCCAUCUAGGGUUGUAACUUUCCUGGGAUGAAGGACUAGGCAGUAAAUCUGGGAAAGUCAACUCCAUCACAUACAAAUACAUUUAUAAAGGGGACAAUCUGAACUGACACCCUAUUCCCUAUGUAGUGCACUACUUUUGACCAAAGCCCUAUGAGAGCUUAUGAGGCUCUGGACAAAACGUAGUGCACUACAUAGGGAGCCAUUUUGGACUCAACCAAGAAGAAAUCUGUCAACGGUAAAAUAAGAGACAUGAUGGUGAAGUUGCCCUUAGACACUGAUCUGCGGUCAGUUUAACAUUUCCCCCCACUAAUGGUUAAGGUUAGGAUUGGGGGAUGGGAAGCUGAUCCUAGAUCUGUACCUAGGGGGAACGUCAGUCCCUCCAGAGCGACAAAUAACAGGAUUGGUUCCGGUUCAUGUGUAGGCCCUGUUGCAGUCAGACAGACCUGCAUCAAACCAGAUCGAACUGGACAAAGCUGGUUUAGAGGAGUGACCUUUAGGUUCCAAGA